rnacentral:lncRNA from 1 species
UCCAAAGUUGACAAUAGGUACGAGUUAACGGCUUGAUCACAGGCUCGAGUCAUUAUAAGAAGCCUCCAAUGAGUUGUCUCCNUCUCCAAAGUUGACAAUAGGUACGAGUUAACGGCUUGAUCACAGGCUCGAGUCAUUAUAAGAAGCCUCCAAUGAGUUGUCUCCAAGAAUGAGUUUUUCUUUUGGUGAUUUGUCAAGAUCAAGAUAGGAUUAUUGGUUCAUAAGUAAUCAUUGAAACUUGGAUUCAAUUUCAACAAAUAAUCCGUAUUAUUUCAUUUUAUGGUCGGUCAAAUUCUACUGGAU